UUAGAUUAGAAGACAAGGUAUAUCUGUCUUUCAUUUGCUCAAUCAAUGUCAAACAUCAAAAAUCCCAACUAACGAGGAGAAAGUCUGUCAGAAUUAUAUUCCAUUUAGGAAAGAAAUAUCAUUUUGUUACCAGUGAAGCCCCUAUUCCCCCUUCUUUUUCUCAAGGUGAGGCAUCAAACGUCUGCUGGCAGAAGCCUCAGGAUUUAACAGAAUGAAGAAGAACGAUGUGCAGGCAAGUUUGAAGAUGACUGCGGAGACUGUAAAUUCAGGAGUGUUAACUGUGGAGUGACAGGACCCUGGAGACAGGCUCGGAAUUGCUGAUCCCAGGCAGGACUUGUGCCUCAAGCUCCUCACAAAGGGGCUUCCUUAAGCUUGUCACUGAGUUGUCCCAGCAACCUGGAAAAACAGCUCCCCUCUUUGAGGUGGUAGACCAGUUUUCUGAUAUUCCCCAACCCCCAGACUAUCAAGUUCAUCUCCCCAAAAGGGAAGCUUUUUUUCUAAGAUGGUGAGAAAACACCAAUGCCAGAUAUCAUCUGGUUUCCGUUGAGGGGCUCCAAAACUCUGUCGUGGGCUAAUUGUUUCUAUUCAUACACACGAAGAUAACCAUGAAUGGAGAUCUGUCACCAGCUCCUGGGUCUUGAUAUCACUGGAUUGACCUAGGCAUAUGGGUUAUUUUGGAGAAGCUAGUCCUUUGUUUUCUAGGCUCUUCUAUGGCACAUACUCAUGAUUCCUGCAGGGGCCUUUGGUGGCUUCUUGAGUAUCUCAGACCCUUAGGAGACAAUAGGGUUCCUUUACCUCAUUCCUUCAGUCUGGAAGUUGUGGGGCUGUUUCUGUCACCCAGCUCCUUCACUUUAACCUCUGUGGAUGUGGCUCCUGCUCAGGGUUUAAAGGGUGCAGCUCAUAUGCCAUCACCAGGAAGUAUCUAGAUACUGGUGAGAUAGGAACUCAAAUUGCUGGCUGCUCCGUUCUCUUUACCAAUAUUUAUUUCCACUUUGCAGAUGAAAACAAUUUAUUAUGAAAGCAUGCUGAUAGCCUGAAAUAACCUGAAGUGGGCACAGUCUUGUGAAAUACUUGGCAAGGAAAUAAAUACAUAUUCAGCCACUGAAACCAAAAGGUUUAUUGCCUAGGAGGGGCUCCAUGGAAACUCCUGCGCAAGGAUAUGUCUAAAGCAGUUAUUUUCCUGACUUUGGUCUUCAGUAUAUCACUCAAGAAGACAAGAUUCUGGAGAACCACGUGGACAGGCGCUCAAUGACUAGGUGAACUUGGAAAAAGUGGCCUUGGAUGUCUCUCACAAAUUUACAACACACCCUAGAAAAAUCUACAGCACACAAACCUAUUUACAUUUGUUUAACUCAGAAUUUCCUAUUUCCCCAUGAACAUUUCCCUGCACAGAAUACCUGUUAAUAUGUCACAGAAUCAGUGUUCUGCAGCCCACAUUUUGUGAAUCCCCACAUCUUGAGAGGCUUUCUCCAGGCUUCUUGGAGAGGUAGGCUUCCUUAUCAGACUUUCUAAGUUGCACAUGUUUAUCAUUUAUGAGACAAGUGUCAGAGACCAUCUCAGUUAAUAUAGCAACUUUGAGGUAGCUAUUAAGCCUUCAAUCAGUAGUUAAUUACAUAACUGAUAUUAGUUAUCUACUAUGGCAUGACCCCAGGGCAAGUUUGUUAUUACCUUUAUUUUAUAGGUGUAGAUGGGGAAACUGAGUCCCAGGAAAGGUAAAUAAUCUAUCCGAAGUCACAUGAUCUUCAGGUAAUAGAGCCAGAAAGAAAAUCCAGUUUCUCCGAUUCCCAGUCUUUGGUUGUUUCCACUUUUUUCAGACUGCAGAGGAGUUACUACUGCCAUUCUUGCACCAACAUCACUCUAGAAGUUCAGAACAGGGUUGCUAAAGAGGUCUUUUUUAUGAACUUGAUUGAGAUCUUGUCCUUCCUCAUCUCCCAGCCUGUGCUUUCCCUGCGUCCAGCUCUGAGUUAGAGGAGGGAGGUUGGAGAGUUACUUUUUUAAAGAUGUUUUUAUUUAUUUUUGAGAGAGCACAAGCAAGGAAGGAGCAUAGAGAGAGGGGGACAGAGGAACUGAUGUGGGCUCUGCACUGACAGCAGCGAGCCUGAUGUGGGGCUUGAACUCACAAACUGAACCACAAGAUCAUGACCUGAGCUGAAGUGGAGACACUCAACUGACUGAGCUCCCCAGAUGCUCUGCAAAUCACUCAAGUAGAGAGACCCACUCAGACCUGGGGAGAAGGAGUCAUGUCCACAUGACGCUCAGAACCCCAGUGGCUUUUGCAUUUGCAUAUCCCAAAGACGGGAAGCAAGAUGGCUUAACUCAAGACCUUUGAAUCUCCCCCUCCUUGGCUGCUAUGUAAGAGAUUCUCUCCCAGACACGAAGCUUCAAGGUGAUCAUUCUAAUGGAUUCCGAAGCACAGUGUGUAGAGUGGGAAGCCUUUGGACUCUGGGUUUCCUGUGUUGUGGUCUAAAACCUGUUCAGUCAAGUCGAAUUGUACUGGUAUUCUGCAGUUUGUGUUGGGAGCCCAUGGCCAGCUGUUUAUUAUUUUAAAAACUCUGGGUUGCUGCCUUUAUGCAUGGGGGUGGGAGGGCAGCCUACUGUGCAAGGCGGCUGCCACCUUCUGGGAAUGACAAUGUUGCUCUGUAUACUCCACGGGGGCCCCUCAGGCAGAGCUACCGCAUUCCGGAGCUCUACCCAGCCAGAUGAACAGAGACUAUUUCAUCUCGCCAGUUAUCGAGACAAAGUCAGGGCUCUAGCAAUUGUGUUCCUCCCUGUCAUAUAACCUUUUCAUGAGGAAGACCCCACUAAGGCCUUGAGACCAGGACCCUCACAGCUUCACCAGAGUACUGGGGAAACGUGUUCACACUGGGCUUUAUGAAACACACUCUUGCCUUCCUCACCUUUCAAAAUGUGUCCCUGCUAGGUGCCCCAUGGUAAGAAUGUCUCAGUGUCCCACUGGAACAUUUGUUAUUGCCCAAUCCAGCUCAACACCCCUUCCAGCCAUGUCCCAAGAAGCCAGCACUGAACACUUGAAAUAAAACAGAGCGAUGUCCUCGAGCUGUAAAUGCCUCCCAAAGACAAACGGACAGAACUUCAUUGUUUCAGGGAAGAAGGCGCCUCACAUAGCGGUCACAUUGUGGUUACCGGGGGCCCGAUGAUUAAUCCACAGAGAGGAUGUGCAGGAGAGAGGAGCUGGCAUCAUUCCUGCAGAUGAAGAUUCUUUAAAAUUUCAUGUCUCUGACUGAACAUGUGCCCCAGAAACACAAGAUUUCCAUUGUUAAAGUCUCUUUGGUGACCUCAUUUUCCCAGUUGUGAGUUGGCAUGUAAGUAAUUACCUUUUCUGUCUGCACAGGGAUACCGUGUUCCUGAAACUUAAGUGUUUCACACUUUAAAAUGUACAUUGUGCUGCUUAUAAUUAUGCUUCUGAAGGGGCACACUUACAGCGAUUUAUGAAAUUUCUAAUUUAGAAAUGGGAUAUGAGUCACUAGUGCAUGGAGAAAUUAGCAAAAUCAGAUACUGAUCAGUGUACAUAUAUACUCAGCAUAAAUAAUUAGAUUAUUUUUAGAAUCAAUUUUUUAAAAGCUCUGUGCUAAGCUCUUUUAAAGGCACUCCAGAAGAUUCCAGCAGUAUCCACCAAUGUCUACCAUGGCUCUUGUCCAUUGCAUGAUCACCACUGGGGGAGGUGGACUCUCUUACAAUGGCAAAUACUGUAUGUGAGGGGCCGACGCAGAUGUCAUGAUGAUGCUGAUGGGUGAAAAUCCACAGUUCUGUCACUUACUAGUACUGGGCCGAGGACAACUUCUCUGAGCUUCUGUUCCCUCAUCCAGGGCAUGCAGCUCUGAAUGGGACCUUUUGUAACUGGAAAUUCCACAGUUCCAGCUGCCCCUGACUCUCGUCCAUGCCAGACGACAUCCCCAGAGACUUUGAAGUUGCAUGUUUGAAUGAAGCACAGCCCCACCCCACCUCUCACCCUAUGUGCCUGCCCACAGUAUCAGUCAGACUCUGGGAGAGCAGUGGGACCAGCUUCUGGCUACCAACAGGAAUCCAGCACAGUGUUGUGCCUAUGCAAGGAUAGAUGAAUGAGUAGAGCUCUGAGAGAUGAGGCCCCUGGUGGAAGGGCGCUUGAGGACAUCAGGCCACCUUCCUUGCAUCUAUGAAGUCAUACCAUGUUGGCUGACACCUCAUAAGCCUGGACACAAUGCAAGUAUCCCAAUAUGUUAAACUUAUUUGUCCAUUUACAAUUUCAUUCGAUGUUUACUGAGCACCAACUUUCUGUUAGGUCAUGCUGGGGAAGAUAGCAGAAUGGAAAAAUGUAGUCUCUGUCUCAACAAUCCAGGUGGGAGAAGACUUGAGUUUCAUGCAGAAAGCAAGAUAGCAAGGAAUGGACACUUAUCUCAUCCUGAGAGAUAUCUAUGAGAAGACUUCCUGAGUGGGAUGGCUUUGAGUUGCUACAAGGAUGUAGUAAGAAAUAAAAAUCCGUAAAGGCAUUAAGCAACAACCACAGCAACACUGUUCUUUUCUAUAUUCACACCAACAUUUCUGACAUCAGAUGUGUGGGUUUUUCCACACCAAGCAAUUCUCUAGUUCUCGGCAGUCACCAGUUGAGUGUCCUACAAUUUAAAUUCCUACACUAACUGGACAGACCACACAGGUUAAGAGCUUAGUCCACAAGACUGUCCCCCACUUCAUAAACCAAUUGCAAGGCCUGGGUUGUCACCUGUACUUCUGACUGGCCAUAAACGGGGGUUCCCACAACUCCUGCUUGGAUUGGUACAUUUGCUAGAACAGGUCAUAGAACUUGGGAAAACAGUUUACUUACUAGUGUACCAGUUUAUUAUAAAAGGAUACAACUCAGGAACAGCAAGAAGGAAGAGAAGCAAGCAUAGGGCAAGGUGGGAAGGGGUUCAUGGAGCUUCCAUGCCCUCUCUGGGUUCACCACCCUCCCAACACCUCAAUGUGUUCACUAGCCAGGAAACUCUCUCUACCCUGUUGUUUGGGGCUUUUGUGGGGGAUUCAUUACAUAGGCAUGGUUGCUUAAAUCAUUGGCCACCGGUAAUGGAAAAUCUCCAGCCCCUCUCCCCUUCCUGAGGAGGUUGGGGAAGGGACUGAAAGUUACAACCCUGUAAUCACAUGGCUGGUUCUCCUGGAAGCAUCCCUCCAUCUUUUGGAGCUUUCCACAAGUCACCCCAUUAGUAUAAACUCACGUAUGGUUGAAAGGGAUAUAUUAUGAAAAAUAAAGCAUGUUCCUUUCUCCUCUAUCACUCAGGAAACUCCAAGAGUUUGGCAGUUCUGUGCCAGGAAUUGGGAACAAAGAUCAAGUAUACACUUCUUAUUAUAUUACAGUAUCACAGCUUUCCAUGCAGAGGGGGCAGAGCAAUUAAAGCAGAGCAGGUGUGAAAAAAAAUGUGAGGUGUGGCUAUAAUAACGAAUUUCUGUGAGAGGGUGGGAAUGAGCUUGAACAAUCAGUAGCAGCCUUGCUGUGUUAAUGAGUUUGAAACUAUAUUAUUCUCUUGUGGGGGCAUGGAUAGUAAUUAUACUUUACACACAUAGAAUGAUUCUGUGAGCAGUAAGCACUCUGCUUUAUGUGAAUGAUCUCAUUAAAUAUUU